CGCACAUUGCGCCCCUCGGUACUCCGGGGGGCAUGCCUGUCCGAGCGUCAUUGAAAACUAUCAAGCCCGGCUUGGUCUUGGGCGAGGUCUGGGGACCCGCCCGCAACCCGUCGGCGGUGCCUGUUCGGCCCUGAGCGUAGCAAGAUUCUCGCUCCAGGGACCCAGCGGUGCCUGCCAGCAGUCUCCCCCUAUAGUUUGACCUCGGAUCAGGUAGGGAUACCCGCUGAACUUAA
rnacentral:misc_RNA from 1 species